UAGACACAGAGUGCUGAUUGUUGCGUUUACACUCCUUUAGCUAGACAGAAAAGGUCUCCAAGUCCCCACCGGUCCGAGAAGCCCAGCUGGCUUCAUCCUUCAGUGGCACUCGCCUAGGGACUUUGCAGCACCUAGCCUGGGCAGUCCGGCAGCCCAGAGGGAGCUGGUCCCCUAAUCAAGCCCAGCAGGCGCCCGCCGGCCGGCGGCGCUGAGUGCCGGCCCGCGGGGCCGCGGAACCCUGGCCCACCCAGAACCUGCGCAGAGCCACAAGGGCCGUGCACAGCCCCGGCUCCCGCCCGCGCCUCCCACUCCACACCCCCCCCGCCAGCAGAGGGAGCCGGCUCCAGCCUCGGCCAGCCCCAGAGAGGGGGCCCCCACGGAGCAGCAGGGGGCCCCCACGGAGCAGCAGCGGGCCAAAGGGCUCCUCAAGCCGGCCAGAGCAGACGCCAAGGCCGAGGAAGCGCCCAGAGUGAGCAAGGGCUGCUAGCACGUUGUCAUCUCUCAAUGUCUCAGCAAACUAACACAGGAACAGAAAACCAAACACCGUAUGUUGUCACUCAUAAGUGGGAGUUGACGAUGGAGUCUGGCUCUGUCGCCCAGGCUCGAGGGCUCCAGUACAGUGGUGCAAUCUCAGCUCACUGUAAUAACUGCCUUCCGGGUUCAAGCGAUUCACCUGCCUCAGCCUCCCCAGUAGCUGAUAUCACAGAUCCAACUUUUCUUCAUGGUAGAGAUACCCUAACUGCCCUCCAAACAAAGUUGCUAGUAUUGGAAGGAGGUUUGAGGAUACUCAUCUAGUGCAAGAGAUCCCUCAUCAAUUUCACUUCAUCUUUUCACAGAGCUUCCGGUUGUAUAAUUCUGCAGUGUAAUUCAGUUACUACCAAAGAAUCUCAUGUCAUUUUUUAACACUUUUCACUGCUUGAAAGGUCCAUAGGUUAAAUAUGGAAUUUACAACUUUACCUUUUCCACUAUCCUUUUGUACAUCUUUAACCAAUCAACAAACAUCUCUCAAUUUAUUUUCCUUAAAUGUAAUAAGUAAAAAGUGUGGUUGAGUGGAAGAUUACCAAAGUCCUCUGAUUUAGAUGUAUUGUAUUGUGUUGUUUUGUUUUUUUCCUCCCGGAAGUUCACUGUUGUUGUAUAUUCUCUUUAUUAUUAAAAUAAAAUAUGUUCUUUUGAAGGUUG
rnacentral:lncRNA from 1 species